UACGGGGGGGCAAGCGUUGUUCGGAAUUACUGGGCGUAAAGGGCUCGUAGGUGGCCAACUAAGUCAGACGUGAAAUCCCCUCAGCUUAACUGGGGAACUGCGUCUGAUACUGGAUGGCUUGAGUUUGGGAGAGGGAUGCGGAAUUCCAGGUGUAGCGGUGAAAUGCGUAGAUAUCUGGAGGAACACCGGUGGCGAAGGCGGCAUCCUGGACCGGCAUUGACGCUGAGGAGCGAAAGCCAGGGGAGCAAACGGG
rnacentral:rRNA from 1 species